UGGGGAAUAUUGCACAAUGGGCGCAAGCCUGAUGCAGCGACGCCGCGUGGGGGAUGACGGCCUUCGGGUUGUAAACCUCUUUCAGCACAGACGAAGCGCAAGUGACGGUAUGUGCAGAAGAAGCACCGGCCAACUACGUGCCAGCAGCCGCGGUAAUACGUAGGGUGCGAGCGUUGUCCGGAAUUACUGGGCGUAAAGAGCUCGUAGGUGGUUUGUCGCGUUGUUCGUGAAAACCCACAGCUUAACUGUGGGCGUGCGGGCGAUACGGGCAGACUGGAGUACUGCAGGGGAGACUGGAAUUCCUGGUGUAGCGGUGGAAUGCGCAGAUAUCAGGAGGAACACCGGUGGCGAAGGCGGGUCUCUGGGCAGUAACUGACGCUGAGGAGCGAAAGCGUGGGGAGCGAACAGGAUUAGAUACCCCCGUAGUCC
rnacentral:rRNA from 1 species